GGUCCACCUGGAGACAAAGGUGCGAUGGGGAUCCCUGGGCGGCCGGGACUAAAAGGGCAACCCGGAGAGAAGGGUGCUCCAGGAGAAGCAGGCAUGUCUAUCAUCGGGCCCCGCGGUCCACCCGGACAGCCUGGAACAAGAGGUUUUCCUGGAUUCCCGGGCCCUAUUGGCUUGGAUGGCAAACCGGGUCAUCCUGGACAGAAAGGGGAGAUGGGUGCUGCAGGUCCCAGGGGACAGCCUGGACCCCCAGGACAAAAAGGAGAAAAGGGUCAGUGUGCAGAGUACCCGCACAGGCUGUUGCCUCUCCUCAAUUCAGUGCGGCUGGCUCCACCUCCGGUCAUAAAGAGACGCACUUUCCAGGGUGAACAAGGUCAAGCGGGAAUUCAAGGUCCUCCGGGGCCCCCUGGCCCACCGGGACCCACUGGACCAGCUGGACCCAAAGGAACCCCAGGACAGCCCGGGCCAGUUGGGCCACCUGGCAGAGCAGGAGAACCUGGGAAGCCUGGCAGAGAUGGAAAGGGCUUGCCUGGGCCUCCUGGACCAAAGGGAGACCCUGGGAUUCAGGGAUACCCUGGCAGAAAGGGUGAGGAGGGUGAGGCAGGCCUGCCCGGUGCACCUGGCCUCCCUGGAGCAACUGGCCCCAAGGGUGAAAAAGGGGACGCUGGCAUAAAGGGGGAGAGAGGCAUGCCAGGGCUGCCAGGAAGACAUGGCACUAAGGGCGCCCCGGGGACGGCCACCGCAGGGAUGAAGGGUGAGCCUGGGACUCCAGGAGAAAAGGGAGAGCCUGGAGUCCCGGGGAGAAUGGGCCCCCCAGGUUUGCCAGGGAAGAGGGGGCAGCGGGGUGAGAAGGGACGAGCUGGUGAUCCUGGGCUUCCUGGACUCCCUGGCAUGAAGGGAGAGAAGGGAAAUGCUGAGAAUGCCCUGGCAGGAGGCAAAGGAGAACCUGGCCCUCCAGGUCUGCCUGGGCCCCCUGGACCAAAGGGAGAAGCUGGUGACAUUGGCCAGCCUGGUGCUGCAGGAUCACGGGGGGAAAAGGGGGAACCUGGUUCACCAGGAGACCAGGGACCCAUGGGCCCAAGGGGCCCCAAAGGAGAGCCUGGGAAGGAUGAAAUGAUGGACUAUGAUGGUAACAUCAGUGAAGCUCUCCAGGAAAUACGAACUUUGGCCUUGAUGGGACCCCCAGGACUUCCGGGUGUGGCUGGACCUCCAGGGCCACCAGGACAGAAGGGUGAAAUUGGCUUGCCAGGUCCUCCAGGCCAUGAUGGAGAAAAGGGACCACGUGGCAAGCCAGGAGAAAUGGGCCCCCCUGGCCCUCAUGGACUGCCAGGAAAAGAUGGACCACCUGGAAUACAGGGAGAGCCAGGCCCUGUGGGGGUGUCAGGAGAAAAGGGUGAUAAAGGAGAGCCAGGACAAGCUGGUGCACCGGGUCUUGAUGGCCCCACUGGAGAGAAAGGUGAACGAGGUGACCAAGGGAUGCCAGGACCAUCAGGAUUGCCAGGUCCCAUUGGACUUCCAGGAUUGACAAUAUCUGGCCCCCCUGGACCCCAAGGCCCACCAGGACCUCCAGGUCUUCAGGGCCUCCCAGGACUGAAGGGGGAAGCAGGGAUUGAUGGAAUGAAAGGAGAGAAGGGUGCCCAGGGUGAAAAAGGAGACAGAGGGCCACUGGGAUUACCCGGUGCUUCAGGUUUAGACGGCAGGCCUGGACCAGCGGGUACUCCAGGACCAAUUGGGGUUUCGGGACCAGCAGGACCAAAAGGAGAAAGGGGCAGUAAAGGAGAUCCUGGAGUUGUAGGACCAAUGGGGCCAGCAGGGCUUCCUGGUUUACAAGGUCUACCUGGUGACAAAGGAAUCCGGGUCCACCUUUGUCCCCUUUAUCCCUUGCUCCUCUUCUGCCUUUCUUCCUGGUUCCUUCCUCCUUCCUCCAGAGCAACCCGUGCUACGUUUUCCUGGAUUAUCCUCUCUGUUCCAGUGCUUGGUUCUGGGGGGAGAGGGGCAAGAAAGGCUCUAGAGGGUCUAAAGGGGAUAAGGGAGACCAAGGAGCGCCUGGAUUAGAUGCACCCUGUCCGUUGGGGGAAGAUGGCCUUCCAGUUCAAGGCUGCUGGAAUAAGUGAUGAUUCUAACCCUGGAACUGGCCUGUGUGUGUUACUGUACAUAGAAUAUUUAUUUUUAUACCGUGUUCUUCUCUGAAAUGCCAAAAAACGAUGCAUUUUUACAAAUUAUCAAAAAGCUGCAUAUUUUUUGUACAGAAAAUACUACUACUCCCUUCUUCCCCAUUUGUCAGUUCUCUGUAUAAUUCUAUGUCUGCAUUAUGCUUGUUUUGUCAUGGAGUACAGCUGUAAUAUUUACAUAUUUGUGCACACAUGAUGAAUAUAGGAACUUAAUAAAUUAUUGCAUUAAAAGCUCCUCAAAAGAA